rnacentral:rRNA from 1 species
ACUCAAAUGAAUUGACGGGGGCCCGCACAAGCAGCGGAGCGUGUGGUUUAAUUCGAUGCAACGCGAAGAACCUUACCAGGGUUUGACAUGCUUAAAGUAGAAACUCGAAAGAGGGACGACCUGUAUCCAGUCAGGAGUUUGCACAGGUGCUGCAUGGCUGUCGUCAGCUCGUGCCGUGAGGUGUUAGGUUAAGUCCUGCAACGAGCGCAACCCUCGUCGCUAGUUGUUUUCUCUAGCGAUACUGCCCGUAUAACGUGGAGGAAGGUGGGGAUGACGUCAAGUCAGCAUGGCCCUUACAUCCUGGGCUACACACACGCUACAAUGGGUGAUACAACAGGUUGCGAUAGAGUAAUCUGGAGCCAAUCCCUAAAAUCAUCCUCAGUACGGAUUGCAGGCUGCAACUGCCUGCAUGAAGUUGGAGUUGCUAGUAAACGCAGGUCAGCACACUGCGUUGAAUACGUUCUCGGGCCUUGUACACACCGCCCGU